CGACGCGCACGGGUGAGUAACACGUAUCCAACCUACCGUUUACUACGGGAUAGCCUUCUGAAAAGGGGAUUAAUACCGUAUGGCAUUCUAAAGUUUCAUGACAUUAGAAUUAAAGGUUUACCGGUAAUCGAUGGGGAUGCGUUCCAUUAGAUAGUAGGCGGGGUAACGGCCCACCUAGUCAGCGAUGGAUAGGGUUCUGAGAGGAAGGUCCCCCACAUUGGAACUGAGACACGGUCCAAACUCCUACGGGAGGCAGCAGUGAGGAAUAUUGGUCAAUGGGCGAGAGCCUGAACCAGCCAAGUAGCCGUGAAGGAUGACUGCCCUAGUGGGUUAGUAAACUUCUUUUAUAAAGGAAUAAAGUGGUCCACGUGUGGAUUUUUGUAUGUACUUUAUGAAUAAGGAUCGGCUAACUCCGUGCCAGCCGCGGC
rnacentral:rRNA from 1 species